GCGCGGGUCCCGCCGCCGCGCGGGGCAGCGCGCGCCCCCCCGGGCGCCGUCCUGGCAACGGCCUCCAGGGACAGCGGCCCGUAGCAACCGGGCCCGGGCCCGCCGCCUCCACGAGCCCGGGGAGCCGCGGGGACAGCGGCACCUGCCCGGGAAAAGCCGGCAGCUCGGGCCCUGCGCUGGGACGGGAGGACGGAGAGGCCGCGCCCGUCCCGCCCCGCACACGGAGCCCCGGCUCGCACCGACACACGGGAUGCCGCUCUCCCGGGGCACGCUUAUCCCGUUCCAGGCACCAGAAAUGCCCUUUUUGCUUCAGAGAAGCCUCCCGCUGCUCCUCCUCCCCUCGACGGAGGACGGAGCAGGAGGUCCCGGGAGCGCGUCCCGCAGGCCGCGCUGCCGCCGGCUCCCCGCACGCCCCGGCGCUCUGCUCGGCGCCAGCCAAAGCCCCGUGCUCGGCAGAGCGCGUCGCGGCAGCCCUGCUGCGAUCGCAUCCAAGCCAAACUUCCCCGGGCGACAACGCACACUUUGAAAUUCCCAGAAGAGCCUCGGGUCGGCGGCAGGGAUUUAACGACUCAGCAGGCGCAUCACUGCGAUGAGCGGACAGAGGCAGUUUUGCCCCGUCCCGGCUCCCUCCAGGCCCCUCCCAUGGCCAGGUCGUCGGCUCUCGCCUCCUCACUCUGACUCCAGGCACACAGGAGGAAGCACACCAGCCUCGAGGGUCCCCUGGAACAUCCUGGGGAGAGCUCCCGUGGCCACGACUGUCAACAGCACCACAGCCAGCUGCUUCUGUCCCCCACGGUGAGGGACACGCCGGACAGGAAAGCAGCAGGGCAGGGCAUGGGGCAGACCUCUGACAGGCUCAGACCCACGUGCUCAGACAAGCACCCCAGGAGGAACCAGCCAAAGGACUGAAUCUACGUCCCAGAGCUGAACAAUCACCCUCCAGGUACUCCACUACAGCCUCUUGGCUUCAAGAGCUGGGGAUUAGAGGAAAGUGUAGGGGGAAAAAAGCACUCUGGCCUUUGUUGUCAGUGUUUGCAAGCAUGGGCAGCACCACACCUUUACCAGGCUGCCAGGACACAGCCUGAUCCCAGGCAGAGCACUGGCAGCAGGCAGAGGCCACAGAUGGUGGAUGUCUAUGCAGACACUCUCUCCUGACCCAGCGUCACAAUCUCCCCCGUGGCCAGCAGCAAUCGAUGUCCUUGGGACAGCAGCAGGAGAAGCCAUCAAUGGAGCACAGCCCUCCAGUGAGGUACUGCCUGUGCUCCCUGCCCAGCCAGGCUGGACGGUUCCCGAAGCAGAGCUGGGUCCAUCCACACCGCGUGCAGCCGAGCCAAGUCUGGCCAGCCAGCUCUCACAAGGACGGGGCACCAUGUGUCCAGCUGCAGGGUUAGAGCGUGUGGAAGGGGCUCAGCCCAAGUCUGCCCCACUCCACCUCAAGAAAACAUCUACACACACAGAGCCAGCAGCACCAUGCUCUGCCUAGACAAGACACGUGAGGAGCCCAAGUGAUGCCCCCCCAACGCUACAGCAAACAUGGCCGUGGCCAGCAGCACUGGCCAGUGCUUCUUGGCCAGGAUAAGGGCUCACCAGUCCUGCCACCGAGACCUGUGACACCCCAGGUGAGUGGGACCCCCUCCCCAUGCCAGGCAGCGGCCUCAGAAAGCUCUCUCCCUGCCUCUUGGGGGGCUGCUCAGGCUGAACCUAGCUGCCCAUCCUUUCCUUUACAAGAGCCAGGGGCUGUCAGGAUUUGAAGCCUCCCCGAGCCCAGGCUCUUCAGGACACCAUCUGCCACUGCAGACGUGCCGUUCCCCCCUGCCCCAGAUAUAGGUCAGGUCUGUCACAGGAUUAGCCAGGGUGAUUGGAGUGGUGUGAGCACAUCUCUCACCAGAGGUACGUUCUGCCCUAUCCUCCCCCCGACACCCAGCAUGCCAACAGCUCGCCUCCACACUCUCCCCAGCCUCUCCCCUGAGUCCACGGAGAGGAAGAGGCCCCAGAUCAUUCUCUCCCCUCCCCGGUGCCUGGAAAACAAGUAAAAAAAAAAACCCAUCACCAAGCCCCUCGAGGCUCCCAGGCUGCAGAGGGGAGCAACAGGGGUGUCCUCACCCUGCCCAAGGCCCAACACAAGCACUGGGGGACAUGGGACACCCUACCAUCGACAGCUACUGCAGGGAGAAGUGCUCCAGUGGGAAGGAAGGGGGGUGAGGAGCUGCCUCCCCACUCUGCACAGCCUGGCAGAGGGAGCUCGCUGGAGGCCGCCUCUGCCGAGAUCACACACCACCCACUCACACCCCCGGACUGACAGCACUCCCGUCAAACGCCUCCAGCCACACACACGUGGAGGAUGCUGACAUGAGGAGCGAGUAGCUGCACAGGCAGCGGAACUGAUAACACCCAGUUUCCUGUCGAUCUCUCCCACGUGGAUUCUCUGAUGUCUAAUAGCAAGGCUGAGCUGCACUGCAGAGGGAGAACUAGCAGCACCUUCCUCCCUACGAGCCAGAGCCUGCAGCAAGCCAAGACCUUUGAGGCAGCUACCACAACUGACACCAUCCAGCAAGUUCAAAGCAGAGAGCAGAAGGCUCACAGAUAACAGUGAGCUUGCAUAAGCCUUUGUUUCCUGAGGACAAGGUAAAUAAUCUGCAGAGUUACCUCCACCUUCCUUCAUUUGCGCUAGAAACACCAUCACCACCUGAGCAGCGUGAGCAGAAGGCCACUGGUGCAGCAGCCAGGCCCAGCUCAGGUGCCUCUGCAGCAAUGGGUCAUGUCCUCCACUCUCUCCUGGGUGGGCUUUCCUCCCAUGCACAGGAGCCUCUGGAACCACAGUCCCCUCCUGCUGUCCUGGCUCCCACAGAGGCCAGUUCUGAAACGUGGGUGGGGAAAGAAGAGAAACACCAGCACCUCCAUCCCCAACCUGCUGUCUGUGCAGCCUCCCUCACCCUCCCCUUCCUUCCCACCGUGAGACACUGUGGUUCAGGACUCUCUAGUCCUACCCUACCACAUUUUAGUUCUCUCUUUCACACAGCUCUUUCCUAACACAGGCCAAAUCUCUCCUUGGGCCAGCCUGGGGAGCAGGGGAUUCAGCCCCCCCCUCCCCAUCCCCACACAGCAUCUCUGGCAGUCCUCAGCUCACUCACCACCUCUCUACACCAUCACUCCAGCCCCGCUCUCUACACUCUGGGGACGGUGUCAGUAGCAUCUGCCAAGUGAGUGGCUGAGGGCAGGACAGGCUGAGCUCCAGACCCCUUCCCCACCGGGCAGAGCAGCUCCAGCAAAACUCCAGACUCAGAGCCCCCAGUGGGUGGUCCCAAAGGGCGAUUUUGUUACCACUCAGCAAAAACAAGCUCUCUCAAAAGCACUAGUGGCAGGAGGUUGGGAUGGGUGUUUUGGUUUGCGUUUUGAGAAGCCUGCAGGGACACCAACAACCUGCAACCAUCAUUUUCAGAAAGGAGCUCAGAGGAAUUCCUGAUUUUUCAGCAACCAUUUACCCUCUUUGGUCGCCAAGAGGCUGCUCACAAGACGCACCAGAGCGGGCAGUGACCACUGCCUGAAAUGCAAAGGAGGCUUUGCUGCAAUACCUCCCCAGUACACCACUCACAGAGAAUCCCACACCAGGGCCUGGGGAUGGUUUUAAGAGCAAAAACAUGACUUCCAAGCUGACAGCCCCUGCGCACAAAGCACAACUGCGUGGUGACAAGAGAGCAGCCUGGAGCACAGGAGCUGCCUGACCUCUGCUACAGCUCUCACCGGUGGAUUUUUAUUGUUCACCGCUCUCCCAGAGCACAGGCACGGAGAGAAAAGCUACUGAAACACCCAGCUCAAAAUGCAAACGCAGCCAGAGAGGCCCACCAGCAAUAGCAGGGAGAAGACAAAGCUGCCACAAAGGGACCAGAGCUCAGUGCUGGCAGGGGGGCAAGGACCAGAGCACAGGCCCUCGCUUCCCGGGGGGGGUGGGGGGACAGUGAGAGGUGUUGGAGCCCUGGGUCACCAGGACACAGGCUCACCCGGGAGGAAGCAGCUCCUAACACACAGCAUGGCAGGCCACUCCUCUGCUCUGCACUGUCGGUUUGAAAUCCCUUCUCCUGCUUUGCAGGGUAGCCACAGAAAGCCCACAGCUAUAGCUCCACAGCCAGCAGGGCAGGUCUCCAGGGACUGGGCUGCAGCUGGAAAAUAAUACUUGCAAGAUCUGUCACGAGCACAGCUUGCUGGGGACACUGCUCACCUCGACCCCUGCCAUGCACACAGCAAAACAGGGAUCCCUCCCAAACCACUCCACUCCAGAAAACCCAGACUCCUGCACUGAAAGGCUGAGGACUUGCAGGUGCAAGGGCGAAAGAAGGAGGAUAAGCACUCUGCAGUGGCUCUGCGGCCCAGAGAGAUGGCAGGCCGACUUCUCCCACCACCCUUGUGAGCUGACAGCACAGAUCCACACUGCUCCCCUCCACAACCGACCUGUCCCAGGGAGCCACGCAAUAUCCUCACACAGCUCCAUGACCACAAGGCUCAAUGCCUGGCUCUGCUGAGUUCCUGCCAUGCCAACAUCAGAGGGCCUCUGGCAGGGCCUCCCAGCAUCAGCAGCUUCCUUGGACCUGACACCCCACGGGGUGUGCCUGCCUGGUGGGUACACAAACCCCUUGACCAACGAUUCACCCACACAGGGCAGGUGAUGAACUGUGCUUCUGCAGCUUGCCUGGAGCAGGGAACCAAGGGACAGGGGGAAACGCCGCACACCGGCUCCACGAUUCAGAGAUGAAAACCAAAAAGCAUCCAAAAGCUCCACGCAGCCAGCGCUGUGCUGCCCAGCCAUCACCCCCUCAGCCAUGCCCUGCAGCUGGCCUCACGUGACAGAGAAGUGGCUGCACACAGUAGGAGUGGCUGGAGUGCCAGCGUUCCGGAUGGUGUCCCACACACAGCUCAGCCCAGCAAAUCCCAGCGCUCUGCAGCUCUCAUUGACAAACCCCACACGCUCCGAGCAGGUAACAGCGAGAGCUCGGUGCUCACAGCCCCAGGGACACAGCACCUGGAGGGACACAGCCCGGCGAGCACAGGGGUCCCCAACUCUUCAAUGUCCACCAGCGUGAGGACAGGCCCACACCGAGCCCCAUGGACAAGCAGAGCUCUUGUUACACCAGCCCCUGUCCCGGCUGGGAGCCCACCUCCCCAGGACCAGCCCCUCUGCUAUUUCAGCACAGAUCCUUCCACCUGGAAGCCCUGUCCUGCUCUGCUCCCAGUGAUUUUUCUCCUCCCUCCCCGUUUUGCCCCGGGGUGGGAGGAUCUCACUGGCUCUGCACACACCUGGAAGAAGGCUGCAAGCUGAAGCCUGGGCCCUACCUGACGGCUGUUAUUUCAUUCCUUUAACAGGUCCAUAAAACAGGGAUAAUUAAAUCUCCCCUAAACUCUCUUCCAUUUAAAAUAAAAAUCUAUAGUUCCUAUUUCA